GAGGAAAGUCCGGGCUCCCCGGACAAACGGUGCCGGAUAACAUCCGGCGGGGCUUCGCCGCGAAAGCGGAGACACCUCAGGGACAGUGCCACAGAGAACAGACCGCCACGGCGCGUUGCGUACGGCCGGGGCAAGGGUGAAACGGUGCGGUAAGAGCGCACCGCGUUUCCGGCAACGGAAACGGCACGGCAAACCCCACCGGGAGCAAAACCGAAUAGGGACGGCAGCGACUCGUGACCGCGCAAGCGGGAAUGGAUCCAACCCUUGUCCGGGUCGCCGUCCGGGUAGGUUGCUUCAGGCGCCGGGCAACCGGCGUCGCAGAGGAAUGGCCGUCACGCGCGGAGCUUGCGCUUCGCGUUCGACAGAACCCGGCUUACAGGCCGUCUGAUGAA
rnacentral:RNase_P_RNA from 1 species